rnacentral:rRNA from 1 species
UGGGGAAUCUUCCGCAAUGGACGAAAGUCUGACGGAGCAACGCCGCGUGUAUGAUGAAGGUCUUCGGAUUGUAAAGUACUGUCAUUGGGGAAGAACGGUUUUCUUGAAAAGAUUGAGAAGACAUGACGGUACCCAAGGAGGAAGCCCCGGCUAACUACGUGCCAGCAGCCGCGGUAAUACGUAGGGGGCAAGCGUUGUCCGGAAUUAUUGGGCGUAAAGGGCGCGUAGGCGGGCCUUUAAGUCCGGUGUGAAAGAUCAGGGCUCAACCCUGAGAGUGCAUCGGAAACUGGAGGCCUUGAGGACAGGAGAGGAAAGUGGAAUUCCACGUGUAGCGGUGAAAUGCGUAGAUAUGUGGAGGAACACCAGUGGCGAAGGCGACUUUCUGGACUGUAACUGACGCUGAGGCGCGAAAGCGUGGGGAGCAAACAGGAUUAGAUACCCUGGUAGUCCACGCCGUAAACGAUGAGUGCUAGGUGUAGAGGGUAUCGACCCCUUCUGUGCCGCAGUUAACACAAUAAGCACUCCGCCUGGGGAGUACGGCCGCAAGGUUGAAAACUCAAAAGGAAUUGACGGGGGUCAUAGCUGUUUUCCU